rnacentral:rRNA from 1 species
CAGGCCUAACACAUGCAAGUCGAACGCCCCGCAAGGGGAGUGGCAGACGGGUGAGUAACACGUGGGAACGUACCCUUUGGUUUGGAACAACCCUGGGAAACUAGGGCUAAUACCGGAUACGCGCGAGAGCGGAAAGGUUUACCGCCGAAGGAUCGGCCCGCGUCUGAUUAGCUAGUUGGUGAGGUAACGGCUCACCAAGGCGACGAUCAGUAGCUGGUCUGAGAGGAUGAUCAGCCACAUUGGGACUGAGACACGGCCCAAACUCCUACGGGAGGCAGCAGUGGGGAAUAUUGGACAAUGGGCGCAAGCCUGAUCCAGCCAUGCCGCGUGAGUGAUGACGGCCCUAGGGUUGUAAAGCUCUUUUACCUGGGAAGAUAAUGACGGUACCAGGAGAAUAAGCCCCGGCUAACUUCGUGCCAGCAGCCGCGGUAAU